CCUACGGGUGGCAGCAGUGGGGAAUAUUGCACAAUGGGGGAAACCCUGAUGCAGCGACGCCGCGUGAGUGAAGAAGGAUCUCGGUACGUAAAGCCCUAUCAGCAGGGAAGAGAAUGACGGUACCUGACCAAGAAGCCCCGGCUAACUACGUGCCAGCAGCCGCGGUAAUACGGAGGGGGCAAGCGUUAACCGGAUUUACUGGGUGUAAAGGGAGCGUAGACGGCAGCACAAGUCAGGAGUGAAAUCCCGUGGCUUACCCCCGGAACUGCUUUGGAAACUGUUCGGCUGGAGUGCAGGAGGGGUCAGUGGAAUUCCUAGUGUAGCGGUGAACUGCGUAGAUAUUAGGAGGAACACCGGUGGCGAAGGCGGCUUACUGGACUGUACCUGACGUUGAGGCUCGAAAGCGUGGGGAGCAAACAGGAUUAGAUACCCGGGUAGUC
rnacentral:rRNA from 1 species